GAGCGUCGCUGCUGGGACAGCGGCCCCGCAGCGGGGACACCGACCCGCCUGGCCCGGUGUCUCUGCCCACCAUCCCACGCUGCACUGUGCCACUGUCGGGGCCGCGGGACGCCCACACUGGCAAUGCUGCUGAGCUCAGGGGCUCCAAACUCUCCUGGGCUGGAAGCGGGGGGAGCCGGGAGUGCAGCACAGCAAGCACGGAGCAGGCGGGGCGGGUCCGGCUCCCAGCGCCGGGCUGUGCUGAAGGAGCCUGGGAUGCGCCCCGAGGCAGCCAGCCAUGCGGAGGCGGGGGUCCGCAGCAGCCGAGGGGUUAACAGGAGUCAGACCAGACAGAUCGCAGGGCUGUGCCGGGCUCCGCAGCUCGCUGCAGGAAUGCAGCAGAUGGGAGGAAGGACAAACAUCUGAAGAUGGAUAGGGUGUUUUGGUCCAGACUCAUUGCUGAAUUCGCCAAACUCAAAGUUAUUCCUGUAUUUUCUGGGAAGCGUUCUGCCGCGUUGCAUCCCCCCGCACUGCCCCAGAGCAGGGUGAGGACACUGGGGCUGUGGACCAGCAGGUCCCAGUUCAUUCUCUCAGUGCUGCAGGAGCUGGAGGCUGUGUGGCACGGCUGGUACAUGGAGAGAAGCCAUCCCACAGCUCCCGUGAUGCCCAGGCUGCGCAGGGAUGAGUCUGGCACACCUGUCAAGGGGACCCCAUCGGCAAGUGGGGAAGAGGAGCAUCCUCCAAGCAGCCAGGUCCUGCUCCCAUAAGAGCACCCAGGAAGUCUGGUGGGAUUAGCUCAAGGAAUCUCCUGCCCCUGCACCUGACAGGAGAAGCCAGAGAGCUGGGCAGAAGAGGAGGCAAGCCAGUCCCUUCUCAGGGCCCUGAUCUGCCACCAUGUUUCCUGUCCAGGCUUUCUGCCCUUGGACCUUUCUCCUCAAGCUUUGUUUUAUUCUGUACAGUUCCUAGAAUGGACUGGAGACCUUACUCUGGAACAUCCCUGAUGAAGGGCAAAGCCCAGCACGCCAUUCCAUGUUGCUCCAGUGGGGCCCUGGUGCAGCCACCUGGUCCCCAGUGCUGAACCCAGCUGGGUGCCCACCACCUCCAUGCCCAGCACUACCUAGCUGGACUUCCACCCCGUCCCAACACCGAGGCAGGAGCCACAAGAGCACAGGAGGAUCCAUCCAGCUCUGAAUGCUGCCAUGAGAGAUGAGCCAGAACUGCCUGCCUUGCCUCCAACAAUCUUUUAAAUCCUCCCAGGGCUGGUGACUCCAGCAUUGCCUGGGCAGCCUGUGCCAGUGCUUGACAACUCAUUCAGUUGAGAAAUUUUUCUCUAGUAUCCAGUCUAACCCUUCCCUGGCACCACUUGAGGCUGUUUCCUGUUGUCCUACCACCCAGGACUUCAUCCAGUGGCAGGGACUGUGUGAGCCAGUGUCAGGAGAGAACCAGGGACUGAUGGAGGCACCAGACACAGCCCGAGUUGUGCUGGGGAAUAUUUUGGCCUGGAAUUACUGACUAAAAAUGUUUUCAUGGAGUGUCACAAAGCACUUCAUCACUGGGGGAGGCUUUUGGGGUAACCAUGGUGCAGCGGCUCUGGGUUUGUCGGCGAAGCUGCAUCCGGGCCGGCCAGGAGCCCAUAGGAAUCCAAAAGCAGCCCCUCCACCCACUGGGAGGGAGCUGGAACAAAGGCAUUAGGGAGCAUAAGGAGAUUUACAUUUGCAAAGCUAUUUCCAUUUUAAUAAGCCAAAGCGCUGUUAAAUAGAGAUUGAUAUUUCUCCCCAAA